UCGAGGGGUAUAAGGAGCUUGCUCCUUAGAGACCGGCGCACGGGUGCGUAACGCGUAUGCAAUCUGCCUUUCACAGGGGAAUAGCCCAGAGAAAUUUGGAUUAAUACCCCAUGGUAUUUUAGGGUGGCAUCACCUUAUUAUUAAAGAUUUAUCGGUGAAAGAUGAGCAUGCGUCCCAUUAGCUAGUUGGUAAGGUAACGGCUUACCAAGGCAACGAUGGGUAGGGGUCCUGAGAGGGAGAUCCCCCACACUGGUACUGAGACACGGACCAGACUCCUACGGGAGGCAGCAGUGAGGAAUAUUGGACAAUGGGCGCAAGCCUGAUCCAGCCAUGCCGCGUGCAGGAUGACGGCCCUAUGGGUUGUAAACUGCUUUUAUACGGGAAGAAACCCUGGAACGUGUUCCAGACUGACGGUACCGUAAGAAUAAGGAUCGGCUAACUCCGUGCCAGCAGCCGCGGUAAUACGGAGGAUCCAAGCGUUAUCCGGAAUCAUUGGGUUUAAAGGGUCCGUAGGCGGCCCAGUAAGUCAGUGGUGAAAUCUCCCGGCUCAACCGGGAAAUUGCCAUUGAUACUGCUGGGCUUGAAUUACUAGGAAGU
rnacentral:rRNA from 1 species